CUGAGAACACCAGAGAAAGACUGACCUUGCUCUCCACACUGCAAUAAAACUUUGUGAUCUUGAACCUUAGGUUCAUAAUCUCACAAAUGAGAAGGCUCCCUCCACACUCUUGGAACUGUACACCCACUGAAACCCUUAAGAUCAAAAGAAACUGCCUCUGUGCAGUUGAAGACUAAAUCAAUUUUUCAGCCAUAAAUGAGCAUGCUAACAAAGAUCUUGGAAUUUGUAUUUAUGGUAAAAUGCUUUACAUGCAUUCUCAUUGAGGCAUAUGAGAUUCUUAAAUUUAAUUUUUGUUCUUGUUCCUGCCUCAAAUCCACCAAUGACUUUUCAUUGAC
rnacentral:lncRNA from 1 species